rnacentral:lncRNA from 1 species
UUUUAAACAGCGGUUGACAUGCUUCGAAGUACGGUAAUGGAAUAUUUCGAAUUUUUUUGGUCACGAAAUGCGCCAUGCUCGUCACCCUUAUUUACCCUUUCGGAUAGUGUCUUGAACACACGAACAAAACGCCGCUAUUUGGAUAUAACAAUGGAUUAUUUGGGACCAAACCAACAUUUGUUAUUGAAGUAGAAGUCCUGGGAGUGCAUUCUGACGAAGAACAGCAAAGAUGACAUCCUGUGACUAAUGAGGUCUGGCCGCCAGACAACCUGCCCGCUCGACCACAUCUCCUCCUCCCUUCUCCAGACCAUCUCUGGAGACCUUCUCUUAUUCCUCUCCGCCCUCAUCAACUCACCCCUGACCACUGGCAGUGUUCCCUCUGACUUCGAAAUGUUGCUCCUCUCCACAAGAAACCAACAGUCGACUCAACUGAUGUCAAAAACUAUAGACCCGUAUCACUUUUUUUCUUUACAAAACUGUCUCUGAUGAACUUUUUUGUUAUUUCUCUCAAAAUGAUCUACCUGACCCAAACCAGUCAGGCUUGAAGAUGGGUCACUCAACCGAGACUGCUCUUCUCUGUGUUUACGGAGGAUCUCCGCAUUGGCAAAGCUGACUCUCUCCUCUGUUCUCAUCCUCCUCUUUCAAUAAUAGUGUUGCCCUGAAUUGGUGACAUCCAACACAUCUCAGUGGAAAAAGGAAUAUGGAAUGCCUGGUCGAUGCUUGAUGAGAAGGAUAUUUUUUAAAUAUUUCAGUCUAUUGUGAAUCAUUAAUCCAUACACAGCAGAGGUAACUCUGGGUCUUCCUUUUCCAGUGGCGGUCCUCAUGAGAGCCAGUUUCAUCAUAAUGCUUGAUGGUUUUUGCGACUGCACUUGAAGAAACUUUUACAUUUUCCGUAUUGAAAAUGUUUUCCGUAUUGAAAAUGAUCUUGACAUUUUCCAUAUUGACUGACCUUCAUGUCUUAAAGUAAUGAUGGACUGUUGUUUCUCUUUGCUUAUUUGAGCUGUUCUUGACAUAAUAUGGACUUGGUCUUUUACCAUAUAGGGCUAUCUUCUGUGUACACAUUAAGAAGGAAAGAAAUUCCACAAAUUAACUUUUAACAAGGCACACCUGUUAAUUGAAAUGCAUUCCAGGUGACUACCUCAUAAAUCUGGUUGAGAGAAUGCCAAGAGUGUGCAAAGCUGUCAUCAAGGCAAAGGGUGGCUACUUUGAAGAAUCUCAAAUAUUAAAUAUAUAUUUGAUUUGUUUAUCACUUUGUUUUUGAUUACUACAUGAUUCCAUAUGUGUUAUUUCAUAGUUUUGAUGUCUUCACUUUUGUAGAAAAUAGUAAAAAUAAAGAAAAACCCUGGAAUGAGUAGGUGAGUGCAAACAUUUGACUGGUACUGUACAUAGCCUUGUCCUGCCAACAGACUUUUCUGAAUAACAUCCUAUUCUCAACAGCAGAAAUAUGACAAACAUAUAUCUGGCCAUGUAAAUUCCUAAUUCAGCCUACAUAGAUAUUACAUACAGCACAUACAGUAGACAUUACACAUGAUAUACAUAACAAACAGACUCAUACAAGCAGAGAGGGGGGAGAGAGCGAGAGAGAGAGAGAGAGAGAGAGAGAGAGAGAGAGAGAGAGAGAGAGAGAGAGAGAGAGAGAGAGAGAGAGAGAGUAUUGCAAAGUGUCACAAAGUAUUGCAAAGUAGUAUGGGUUGCACCUCCGUCACAUGGUCGAGUCAUUGGUCGAGUCAUUGACAUUGUUACGCAUCAUGUAAUCAAGUCACUAAACCUCGAGUCAGAGUGCGAGUUAUCAAUGGUUGAAUCACGAGUCGAGUCACGAGUCUCUAUGGUUGAAGUUCGAGUCGCAGAGUUCGAGUCACUGGGUCCACGUUAACUCAAAAUAAAGUAAUUUAUUAACCAGUCAGAUGUAGUGCAGUGGCAAGAGGAAUUUAGUCAAUUCAUUGUUUCCUAUUUUGCAAUACUAUACAUAGCCCAUCUCUAAACAGCCCAUCUAUCUACCUACCUCAUCCCCAUACUGUAUUUAUUUAUUUAUCUUGCUCCUUUGCACCCCAGUAUCUCUACUUACACAUUCAUCUUCUGCACAUCUACCAUUCCAGUAUUUAAUUGCUAUAUUGUAAUUACUUCGCCACCAUGGCCUAUUUAUUGCCUUAACUUACCUCAUUUGCACUCACUGUAUAUAGACUUUUUCUUUUCUUUUCUUCUACUGUAUUAUUGACUGUAUGUUUUGUUUAUUCCAUGUGUAACUCUGUGUUGUUGUAUGUGUCGAAUUGCUAUGCUUUAUCUUGGC